CUGAAAACAUCCCCAAGAAGAUAGAGCUGAUCUAAGUUUCUCCAACUCUUGUUCGCGUUCGUUAUCUGAUGUUGUUGAAGAAGAUAGGAGGUUUAGAUCAAUUAUAGGAAUUGGAGAAGUAUCCAUGAUGUCUUCUUUUCCAUCAACAUCUUCACCACUUCUGCAAAUAUAAGGUCCUAGUGGCUCCUCCCCAUGAAGGACCAUUUCUUGAACUCUUUUUGACAGCAACACCUCUGAGGGUGGAACUGAAUAUGCAGCCAUGCUAAUUCUAUGAUCAAGUUACACUAUCCAGUUGGUUUCCAAUAAGAAGUUAAUGAAUUAGACUUCAGGUUCCAGGGUGAUAGCAUUUAUACAUAGUAGGCAUAAUACAUAAACAACAGUUCAACUUUGACCUUAGCUGGCAAGUAACUAAGCACUCCAACUUUGAGACCAGACACCUCAACUCGCCUUCACUAUGUCAGUCGAACACUCUAACUUACAAAUGAUCAUUUAGACACGGAUUCAUAUGUCACAUCAGUGUGGAUGUCCACGAGACACAAUGAAAACAAAUUGGAGUGUUUAGUUGUCAGUUGAGACUUGAAAUCAAGUUAAGAUGUCUAAACAUGUGCUCUCAAGUUAAAGUGUUUACUUAUAUGUAUUAUACAGUAUAUAUGUGUGUGUGUGUGUGUUUCUUAACAGAAGAUAAGGAUUGAACGUAAGAUGAGGUCCACACAGCUAGCAAAGACAAAUGCAAUUGUCCCUACAUGUGGAGGCGCCUGCAGACUUGCAGCCAUGUUCAUCCAAAACUUCUCAUACUUGUAUUUUCCCUUGGGAAGAGAUACUUGUGAGGAAAAGGAAUUGUAGCCAAAAAUGUAUACUAAUAAUUAAAAAGUAAACUAUAUAUCUAUAAAUAUUUAAUGGUGAAUUCGUCUUGUACAGUUGCGAGUGGCCUAAAGUUUUUGAAAUAUCAAAUAGUAUCUAUUUAUGGGCAGAAGUUCAAAGAAGAAUAUUUGUUGACUUAUUCUACUUUUUUGUCCUGCCAUAUGAUAUGACAGUCGUCAAUCGUCAUGGACCUGUUACAUCAAUUGAAAUAAGUCACAAUUUCUGGGCUACUACUGUGAUUUUUCCUUUAAAUGUGCUUAUUGUGCACACGUCUGCAAAUAUUUAUCUUCAAAGGCCUCAUGGAUUUGAUAUUUUAGACUUUAAACGUGUAUGCAGCAAAUUUUAUGCAAUGCCUUUUUAGUUCAUUUUUUCUAUUGCUGAAUCCUUGUCUAACUUAAUAUUGGAAUGCUUGAAGGAAAUUAAGAGAAUGAGCUCAAAUAAAAGAGUUCCAAUUUGCAGACCAAAUCAUCAUUGGAUGAUUCAUUUAUUAGAAUGGUGCCUUCUUCUUCCGAACCUGAGGUGAAAAAAAUGUAAAGCCAAAAUUGGAGUUGUAGACUUUCUAUCCAUGCCCAAACAACAUGAGGAAGACAUAUAUAGAUAGAUAGUAGUUCUAAAUGUGUGCAGUGUGUAGUGCUCUCAUACCACGCUGGUAAAACUUCCAAUGAGUUUCUGCAUAAUCUGUCACUUUCUUGUAUAUCCUUGGUCUGUCCAUAUUGACUAAGUCAUCUUCUGGUCCGAUUUCUUUCCCUAAUUCAGGCGUGUAGAACAUUGCGAUAGAAAUUCUAUCCCUCUCUGAAUUACUCACUACCCUAUGCACCGGGCUCUUGAAUAUUCCAUUGCUCAUUAUCUGUCAAUUUCAUUGUGGAAAAUGGAAUGCAUCACUACAAGUAGUACAUGUGCAAUCCAUAGAGUACAUGUAUAUUUAUAGAGAAAAAAAGCGAACUUCUAUGUACCUCCAUUUGAUCACCCAUGAGAACAAGCAGAGCUGUAGGAUUUUUUGGUACUGUAUACCAUUUGCCAUCCUUAAGCACUUGGAGUCCUACUUCAUCUUGCAGAAUAAUAGUGUAUCCUGUUCCAUCAGCAUGGGGUUUUAAGCCAAGAACCAGAUCAGGCCUCUGACAUGGCGAGUAGUAGUUAAACCGCGCAUGCAGUUGUGCUUGUUUUCCAAAUUGUUCCAAGAAGCACUUUUCUUCCAGCUUCAACGACUUUGCCAUAGCUUUAGAGGUAAUUUCUGUGACCAUUUUCAUUUUCUCAGAAUAAUCUUCUAAGACCUCUCUGCACAACAAAUGUAAUCAGAUAGCUACGUGUAUGAGUGAACCAGCAUUAAAUACGAAUAAGCAAAAUACUCAAAUUUGUUUAUGGAGCUAGCUGAAAAAAUGUGCAAUCUGUCUAACAUGCCUAUGCUUAAAUCCAUGAUGUUACCACUUACCAUAUGUCAUGUCACUUCUGAUUCAUCACUUAUUAGUUGCUUAUACUGUUCAGUCUCUGAGUUUACAGUAUUUGUGUACAACACAUGAUUAGCUGAGUGCUGAGACAGAAAACUGGAACUUGGCAGAAACCUUAGCUACUAAGCAAGAAAGCAGGCACCUUGUAGGCGUAUGUGACUUCACUUAUAUACACUGACAGUGUAAACACUAUUCAUGCAUUUUAACUUGUAGCAGGUGACCUUUGUUGUUCUCCCAGUUACUAAUAAGUCUACUUUUAGGUGGCUACUUGUAGUUUUAUUUUAGGUGACAAUAAUGUAAAUAUAGAGUCAAAUAUUAGCUUGCUAGAUCAUUCUUGUCUAUAGACUGUUACUAUAAUACUCUAGGUAUCUUACUAAAGUGCAACUGAUCAACUGUCCAUUAACCUGAAUGAUAUUGGGAUUUGUGGCCAGAGGUUAUACUGUCUUCCAUCUUCAGGGAACACCUCGAGGAAGAGACGAUCAGACCAAUCAAGGGACUGACCUUGUUCUGGAACAGGAUCAGCUCCAUAACCUUGGAAAUCAACAACUGAUUUAGCAUACCUGUUCUUCUCUUCCAUUGGCUGGUUGAAGAAUUCCCUUGAAACUUGGCGGAUUUUGUCCAGUAAAGAAGCUGAAAUCCCAUGUGCUAUUCCCUGCUCAUCAAAUAAAACUCUUUGAAUAUCAAGAAAGUUGCAUAGUAGAAAGAAUUCAGAUACAGUAUUUGGAAUGUCCUAAACCUGAAAACAUCCCCAAGAAGAUAGAGCUGAUCCAAGUUUCUCCAACUCUUGUUCGCGUUCGUUAUCUGAUGUUGUUGAAGAAGACAGGAGGUUUAGAUCAAUUAUAGGAAUUGGAGAAGUAUCCAUGAUGUCUUCUUUUUCAUCAACAUCGUCACCACUUCUGCAAAUAUAAGGUCCUAGUGGCUCCUCCCCAUGAAGGACCAUUUCUUGAACUCUUUUUGACAGCAACUCCUCUACAGGUGGAACUGAAUAUGCAGCCAUGCUUAUGCUAUGAUCAAGUAACACUAUCCAAUGGGUUUCCAAUUAGAAGUUCAGGUUCC
rnacentral:lncRNA from 1 species